UUCUUGAUCUUGUAUGAAUAUCUAAAAUUUUUUUGAUAAAUAACUAAUGUGGGACUAAAUAUAUAUCUUCAUGGGUCCUUAUAAAGAUAUUCAUGAAUUCUCCAUCAUUGUGUUACAAAGAAUGAUCUUAGCUUUCAGGGACCAUCGUAUACUUGGUAUAGUUAUCAACAGGAUGCUGCAAGGAUUUCCGAAAAGGCUAGAUCACACAUUUGCUUUGGACGCCU
rnacentral:lncRNA from 1 species